rnacentral:rRNA from 1 species
AACCCGGCUACAUGAAGCUGGAAUCGCUAGUAAUCGCGGAUCAGAAUGCCGCGGUGAAUACGUUCCCGGGUCUUGUACACACCGCCCGUCACACCAUGGGAGUUGGAAAUGCCCGAAGUCAGUGACCCAACCAAAAGGAGGGAGCUGCCGAAGGCAGGUUCGAUGACUGGGGUGAAGUCGUAACAAGGUAGC